rnacentral:rRNA from 1 species
AAGCGGCCGUACAAAAAAAAAAACAAAGAAGAUAACUAAGAGAGGCUAAAACUAAACGGUAUACUUUUCGAAACGGCGGACAGACGCUUUACUUGUUGCUUUGCGUAAAAGCGAGUUUUAUUUGAAACUGAAACAUCUUAAUACUAAGGAAAAAUCAAACGAGAUUCCGAAAGUAGUGGCGAGCGAACUUGGAGUUAUGUUAAAGGUGAUCAUAGAUCUAAAUUAAACGUUAGUUUAUACUGAUAGCAAGAGUACUGUGAAGGAAAGUUGAAAGAGAGUUGAAAAGAGCUUGAAUCGAUUGUUUUUUAAGCAGUUAUUAAAUAGCGUACCUUUUGUAUAAUGGGUAAAAAAGAUUAAUUUGGCAGAUUUAAAAAGGUAAGUUAAAAGAGAUUUUUUUAGUCAAAAAGCCCGAAACCAAGUGAUUUAAUCAUGGAUAGUAAAAAGAACGAACUGGUGGUUGUUGCAAAACCCUCAGAGGAUUUGUGAUUAGGGGCUAAACACUAACCGAACUUGGAUAUAGCUGGUUUUCUGCGAAAAUUAUUUAAGUAGUGCUCUUUUUCUUUUGUUUUAGUUGUCAUUUUAUAAAAAAAAAAAGAAAAGAAAAGAAGAUAAACAAAAGAUGAAAAGAUUUUUUGUUAAAAGAGAAAAGCUCAAAUCAGAAGUUAUAGGCAUUUGUUUUUAAGUGUUAAAGCAAAAGAAAAUUUAGACAAUAAAAAAGUGGGCUUGGAGCCAGCUAUCUUUUAAAAAGUGCGUAGUUGUUUAUUUAAAGCUUUUUAUUUUUGUAAAAAUUUGGAUGGCUAAAAAAAAACCUUAAACUCUGAAAAUAAAAAUAUUUAGUAGCAGAAUAAACUGUUUUUUCAGUAGGAAUAAUUUUUACAUGAGUAAUCUAAAUGUUAUUUUUUUUUUCUUUAUUUUACCAGUUGCUCUGGGUUAUACAGCUUCUAAGGGUUUCUUAUGAAUUCUUUAAUAAAAAUGUGUGUUAUCAGGAAAAAUAAAAAUAAUUACUGUUUGUCUAAUUAAGAAAGAGAAAAAAAGAGAAACGUUUUUUUAAAGAACUCGGCAAACAAGAACUUCGACUGUUUACCAAAAACAUAGCUUUUUGUUUUUUAUAAAAGGUGAUACCUGCCCAGUGGUUGUAUCUAAAAAAGUUUGUUUUGCUUACUAAUAAUGACAAUUAAAUGGCCGCGGUAACACUGACUGUGAAAAUGUAGCGCAAUCAAUUGUCAAUUAAUUGUUGACCGGUAUGAAUGGUGUCACGAAAGUUCUUCUGUUUUAAAAAAACACUCAAGGAAAUUGAAUUUGUAGUGAAGAUGCUACAUUAAAAUUGUUAGACGAGAAGUCCCCAUGGAGCUUUACUGAAAGCCUAAAAAAAAUUUUUUAUUUAUUUAUAGGUUAGACAGUUUUGUUGGGGUGAUAGUUUUUUAAAAAGUAACGAAAACGAACUAUGACGCAUGUUUCACUCUGAAAACUUGAAGAGACAUUUGGGGUGUGUUUUAUGAUCUAUUGUUUUGAAUGAAAAAGAUAAUGAAAGCAGAUAAAAGUUACCCUGGGGAUAACAGCGCUAUAACGUUUGAGAGUUAAUUAACGACGGUGUUUGCGACCUCGAUGUUGAAUUGCAGCAUCCUGGGGUGCAGUAACUCCCAAGGGUUGGUUUGUUCAUCCAUUAAAGCUGUACAUGAUUUGAGUUAAAAGCGUGGUAACACAGCUUGGUUUCUAUCUACAAUUUUUAAACAUAAGUGUUUUGUUUUUUAGUACGAAAGGAUCCAAAAUCAAUAGUUCUCUAAAUAUAUAGCUAUUCUUUAAACCAGGACUGCUUCUAAAAAGAAAAAAGAAAUAUUUUUUGUUUAAUUUUUUUUUGUUUAAUUUUUUUUU